rnacentral:rRNA from 1 species
CACGGAGUUAGCCGGUGCUUAUUCCUCAGGUACCGUCAGUUGAGCACGCAUGCCCUUUUUCUUCCCUGAGAAAAGCCGUUUACAACCCAGAAGGCCUUCAUCCGGCACGCGGCAUGGCUGGGUCAGGCUCUCGCCCAUUGCCCAAUAUUCCCUACUGCUGCCUCCCGUAGGAGUCUGGCCCGUAUCUCAGUGCCAGUGUGGGGGAUCACCCUCUCAGGUCCCCUAGACAUCGUCGCCUUGGUGGGCCGUUACCCCGCCAACUAGCUAAUGUCACGCAACCCCAUCCUUGACCAAUAAAUCUUUACUCAUUGUGUGAUGCCACACUGUGAGUUUAUGCGGUAUUAAUCCGCCUUUCGGCGGGCUAUCCCCCAGUCAAGGGCAGGUUGGUUACGCGUUACGCACCCGUGCGCCACUAGUGGUAUUGCUACCACCCGUUCGACUUGCAUGUAUUAGGCCUGCCGCUAGCGUUCAUCCUGAGCCAGGAUCAAACUCU